GUCCACGCCCUAAACGAUGCGAACUGGAUGUUGGGAGCAAUUAGGCUCUCAGUAUCGAAGCUAACGCGUUAAGUUCGCCGCCUGGGGAGUACGGUCGCAAGACUGAAACUCAAAGGAAUUGACGGGGGCCCCGCACAAGCGGUGGAGUAUGUGGUUUAAUUCGAUGCAACGCGAAGAACCUUACCUGGCCUUGACAUCCACGGAAUCCUUCAGAGAUGAGGGAGUGCCUUCGGGAACCGUGAGACAGGUGCUGCAUGGCUGUCGU
rnacentral:rRNA from 1 species